ACUAAGCUAAGUGUAGCCCCACUUAUCAGGGCGGGGGGAUUUCCUAGUUCAGUUGGAGUGCCUCCACCCAAGCUGGUACACCCCGGCUUGCUUGGGGCACUCCUCGGCCUAUCUCCCAGAAUACAGAAGACCAACCACGGUAGGGCACUCCUCGGCCUAUCUCCCAGAAUACAGAAGACCAACCACGGUAGGU